AGGGAUUUAUACGUAAUACUCGUUAAUUCCUCGUAAGCCAAAAUCGUCGUAAGGUUGUCGUAAGGCCACGAGGAGUUUACGACGAAAUUAAAAAAAAAAUAAAGAAAGCGGGGCACGCUAAUUCCACGUAAGACUCUCUGAGUGAAUGAAAAUAAGUAAUUGUGGUUUGGAAUGAAAAUAAAGAUAGGGUUUGGAAUAUAUGAAGUAGAAGAUAAAGAAUAUGGGGUUUGGGGUUUGGGGUUUCGGGUUUUAGGGAUUUAAAUGGAAUACUCGUUAAUUCCUCGUAUGUUAACGUCGAACUUACGACGAAUUCCUCGUAAAUACCACGUAGGACAGAUUCGUCGUAAAUACCACGUAGGACAGAUUCGUCGUAAAUACCACGUAGGACAGAUUCCUCGUAAAUACCACGUAGGACAGAUUCGUCGUAAAUACCACGUAGGAGAGAUUCGUCGUAAAUACCACGUAAAGUAAAUGAUGAACGCGGCCCACUUUAAUUCCACGUAGGACGGAAUCGUCGUAAACACCUCGUAACCAAAAUCGUCGUAAACACCUCGUACCGUAAAAACUAGAAAAAAAAAAAGAAGAAGAAAUAUACUGGAUUUACAUGUGGCAAGACUUCCAGCAAUUAUAUUACUUAAGUCUCACCAACAUAAAUUCCAAUAUCUUCUUCUCUUCCUUUUUUUUCAAAUUUUUAUAAUUUGAAUAGGAUUGGAUUUGAGAGUAUGAAGUGAGAUAGGGUGUGAUUUGGGAGUUUGGGUGUGGGUUGAGAAGGAGAGUUACGGGUAUAUUUAUAGGGAAGCUUUCCUCGGUAAUUCCACGUAAGCAAAAUCGUCGUAACGUCCUCGUACCUAAAAAACACGGGCCUUUGUAAUUCCUCGUAACUUCCUCGUA